rnacentral:rRNA from 1 species
UAUCGUUGCCUCGGCGGUGCCCGCUCCGGCGGCCCGCCAGAGGACCCCCAAACUCUUGUUUUAUACAGUAUCUUCUGAGUAACACGAUUAAAUAAAUCAAAACUUUCAACAACGGAUCUCUUGGUUCUGGCAUCGAUGAAGAACGCAGCGAAAUGCGAUAAGUAAUGUGAAUUGCAGAAUUCAGUGAAUCAUCGAAUCUUUGAACGCACAUUGCGCCCGCCAGUAUUCUGGCGGGCAUGCCUGUUCGAGCGUCAUUUCAACCCUCAAGCCCCCGGGCUUGGUGUUGGGGAUCGGCGUGCCCUCGCGGCGCGCCGUCCCCUAAAUCUAGUGGCGGUCUCGCUGUAGCUUCCUCUGCGUAGUAGCAACACUCGCACUGGAUCGCAGCGCGGCCACGCCGUUAAACCCCCCACUUCUGAAAGUUUGACCUCGGAUCAGGUAGGAAUACCCGCUGAACUUAAGCAUAUCAAUAAGCGGAGGAA